AUUGAACGCUGGCGGCAGGCCUAACACAUGCAAGUCGAACGAGCGGCGGACAGGUGAGAAAUAUAUGGGGACUGCCCUAUAUAGAGGGAUAACUACUGGAAAAGGUAGCUAAAACCGCAUCCUAUCGGGUACCACAAAUGUGAUUAGCUAGUGGGUGAGGUAAUGGCUCACCCAGGCGACGAUCCCUAGCUGGUCUGAGAGGAUGAGCAGCCACACUGGGACUUAGACACGGCCCAGACUCCUACGGAGGCAGCAGUGGGGAAUAUUGCACAAUGGGCGCAAGCCUGAUGCAGCCAUGCCGCGUGUAUGAAGAAGGCCCUCGGGUUGUAAAGUACUUUCAGUUGGGAGGCGUUACCGACAGAAGAAGCACCGGCUAACUCCGUGCCAGCAGCCGCGGUAAUAC
rnacentral:rRNA from 1 species